rnacentral:rRNA from 1 species
UACGGGGGGAGCAAGCGUUGUUCGGAUUUACUGGGCGUAAAGGGCGCGUAGGCGGUCAGCACAAGUCAGUUGUGAAAUCUCCGGGCUUAACUCGGAAAGUCAACUGAUACUGUGCGACUAGAGUGCAGAAGGGGCAACUGGAAUUCUCGGUGUAGCGGUGAAAUGCGUAGAUAUCGAGAGGAACACCUGCGGCGAAGGCGGGUUGCUGGGCUGACACUGACGCUGAU